rnacentral:tRNA from 1 species
CCUGGUGGCUCAGAGGUUAAAGCGUCUGCCUGGAAUGCAGGAGACCCAGGUUCCAUCCCUGGGUCAGGA